UGGGGGAUAUUGCACAAUGGGCGAAAGCCUGAUGCAGCGACGCCGCGUGGGGGAUGAAGGCUUUCGGGUUGUACACCUCUUUCGCUAUCGAACAAGGCCCGCUUAGGGUGGGUUGAGGGUAGGUGGAGAAGAAGCGCCGGCUAACUACGUGCCAGCAGCCGCGGUAAUACGUAGGGCGCGAGCGUUGUCCGGAAUUAUUGGGCGUAAAGGGCUUGUAGGCGGCUUGUUGCGCCUGCUGUGAAAACGCGGGGCUUAACUUCGCGCGUGCAGUGGGUACGGGCAGGCUUGAGUGUGGUAGGGGUGACUGGAAUUCCAGGUGUAGCGGUGGAAUGCGCAGAUAUCUGGAGGAACACCGAUGGCGAAGGCAGGUCACUGGGCCAUUACUGACGCUGAGGAGCGAAAGCAUGGGUAGCGAACAGG
rnacentral:rRNA from 1 species